rnacentral:tRNA from 1 species
GCCACUGUAGCUCAGUUGGCCAGAGCGGCUGAUUUGUAAUCAGCGGGUCGGGGGUUCGAAUCCCUCUAGUGGCU